AUGUCGGCUCAUCACAUCCUGGGGCUGAAGUAGGUCCCAAGGGUAUGGCUGUUCGCCAUUUAAAGUGGUACGCGAGCUGGGUUUAGAACGUCGUGAGACAGUUCGGUCCCUAUCUGCCGUGGGCGCUGGAGAACUGAGGGGGGCUGCUCCUAGUACGAGAGGACCGGAGUGGACGCAUCACUGGUGUUCGGGUUGUCAUGCCAAUGGCACUGCCCGGUAGCUAAAUGCGGAAGAGAUAAGUGCUGAAAGCAUCUAAGCACGAAACUUGCCCCGAGAUGAGUUCUCCCUGACCCUUUAAGGGUCCUGAAGGAACGUUGAAGACGACGACGUUGAUAGGCCGGGUGUGUAAGCGCAGCGAUGCGUUGAGCUAACCGGUACUAAUGAACCGUGAGGCUUAACCUU
rnacentral:rRNA from 1 species